GACAACAAUGGGUUAAGUUGUAGAGGCAGCUUAACCAAUCAGCAUGCAGCUCCCCAGUAACAUUGACAACAAUAAACAAAAUGAUCAGACGUUACUAGACUGAAGACCGCUAACUGCUUUCACAGCUGAUAACCGAUUGGAAAUGUAGAAGAACAACAGAAUAGUCAACAGAAUAGAAUGAACUUUCAAUUGUAACACCAUGAACGAAGACAAACUAAUAAUACUUGAAUACAGAAAAGAAACCGAGGAACAAUCCGAGGAACAAACAGGCCGUUGAUGACAAGAACGACGUUUAACGGUGGAAGUUUGGAAUUUGGUCAGGUUUUUUAGUGUGGAUGGAAACAUUUUUUGGAUAUGAUGGCGAGCCAAACCCAACCUCUGAACCUUUGAAACCCCAUUGCCUCCCUGGCGGUAGGACCACCCAUGAGUUUGACUGACUCUAGACUGACAUUGACUUUCCCUUUUACCUCCCCACACCAGACAGAUAAUUUAUUGAAUGUACAAUGAUGUAGGUUGCUAGGUUACGGGGACUCUGGCGAGACACGACGCUCCGUCUGGCAUCAUGUUUUUGUUCGUUUUU